AGAGUUUGAUCCUGGCUCAGAGUGAACGCUGGCGGCGUGGAUUAGGCAUGCAAGUCGAGCGAUGUUGAGCUGAGCAUUUCGCAAGAAGUGCUUUAUUCGACAUAGCGGCAAACGGGUGAGUAACACGUGAGUAAUUUACCCUUAAGUCGGGGAUAGCCUUGCGAAAGCGAGGGUAAUACCUGAUGUGUUCUGCGGCACUUAAGUGCUGCAGUGUAAAGAUAGCUGGUAACAGCAAUCGCUUAAGGAUGAGCUCGCGUCCUAUCAGCUUGUUGGUAGGGUAAUGGCCUACCAAGGCGAUUGACGGGUAGCUAGCCUGAGAGGGUGGUUAGCCACACGGGGACUGAGACACUGCCCCGACUCCUACGGGAGGCUGCAGUCGAGGAUAUUUAGCAAUGGACGAAAGUCUGACUAUGCGACGCCGCGUGAGGGAUGAAGGUCUUCGGAUCGUAAACCUCUUUCGAUGGGAAAGAAACUUUUUAGCAAAAUAUGCUAAAAACUGACGGUACCUAGAGAAGAAGCCACGGCCAACUCCGUGCCAGCAGCCGCGGUAAUACGGAGGUGGCGAGCGUUACUCGGAUUCAUUGGGUGUAAAGGGCAAGUAGGCGGCUAUGUAAGUUGGGGGUGAAAUACUUUGGCUUAACCAAAGAACUGCCUUCAAAACUACAUAGCUUGAGGCCAGAAGAGGAGAGCGGAAUUCCCGGUGUAAGGGUGAAAUCUGUAGAUAUCGGGAGGAACGCCUGUUACGAAAGUGGCUCUCUAGACUGGCCCUGACGCUAAAUUGCGAAAGCUAGGGUAGCAAA
rnacentral:rRNA from 1 species